AUUUGGUAAGAAUGAUGAAUCAAUUAGAUGCGUGAAUGGGAAUUGAAAAUUUUCCAUUAUGAACUCAACUUUUGAGGCAUUAAAAAUAAAAAUUGAAUCAAAA
rnacentral:snoRNA from 1 species